GCAGUGUCGGCCGGCACA
rnacentral:misc_RNA from 1 species